UACAGAGGGUGCUAGCGUUGUUCGGAAUCAUUGGGCGUAAAGGGCGUGUAGGCGGUUUUGUUAAGUCAUGUGUGAAAUCCCUCGGCUCAACCGGGGAACGACGCAUGAAACUGGCAAGCUAGAGUACCAAAGAGGGGGGGUGGAAUUCCCGGUGUAGCGGUGAAAUGCGUAGAUAUCGAGAGGAACACCUGCGGCGAAGGCGGGGUUGCUGGGCUGACACUGACGUGAUGCGCGAAAGCCAGGGGAGCGAACGGG
rnacentral:rRNA from 1 species